rnacentral:siRNA from 1 species
AUGUUGACCAAACUUCUACGACUG